rnacentral:rRNA from 1 species
UACGUAGGGAGCAGGCGUUGUCCGGAAUCAUUGGGCGUAAAGCGCGCGUAGGCGGCCCUGUAAGUCCGUUGUGAAAGUCAAAGGCUCAACCUUUGAAAGCCGAUGGAUACUGCAGGGCUAGAGUCCGGAAGAGGCGAGUGGAAUUCCUGGUGUAGCGGUGGAAUGCGCAGAUAUCAGGAGGAACACCAAUAGCGAAGGCAGCUCGCUGGGACGGUACUGACGCUAAGGCGCGAAAGCGUGGGGAGCGAACAGG